UGCAUCUUGCCAAUGGGCAAAGAGACACCUUGUUGGUGGUUUUGUAUCUGUAUUGGUCAGGGGCAGAGCAGAUGACAGUCCUUUGCUCAUGCUAGCCUGAUGCCUAAUUUGGUGGCCAAAGCUGUUUUAUGCCUAGGGCACAUAA